CUCAAAAUCAAUUUCAAAUGUUCAACACACAUGAUGCAAUGAAGGGUGACAGAAAAGAAAAGUAGAUAUAGCAGUCAGUCGUUUGCAAGCUUAGAGCCUUUUACUCAUGCCUGCCAGACUCCACAUUUGUAAUAGUCUGGUCUUGGUUUUCCAGCUUCUAACACUGUGGUGUGUACAUUGUAAGAGAGUGCAUGAUUCCACUCCGUAACUCCAGAUCGCGAUUUCCCAGAACUCUGACUAACACUGUACACACUCCAUUUUCACAACAACCAGCUGCAGAGAGAUCGGAUAUUUCUUGUUCAUUGUGCUGUCCUUAGAAUUACUAGGGCAGAACUAACCCACCAACGGAAUACAUUUUGUGUCGCGAGAAACAAUAAAAUGCUACUGGAGGAGUCUGCUAAAGGAGCUCAGUCACAACUCUUAUGGCCGCCGUCUUUUUCUGCUCUCAUAUCAUCAAAAAUAAAGGACCACAUUGAGGACACGAGGCAGGCAAAUGGGAACCCUUGCAAUGGCAACAAAAGAAUGAUGGAGCUUUGGAUCCAUUUUGAGGUAUCUGAGCAGGAUCAGGGUUAUUUGACGGAGUAGAAGCAGGAUUAUUCACUCUGGGAUUCCGGUAUGGCCGGUUCCUUUGCUCAUAGAGAAUUUGAUUUUCUCUGUCCUUUUCCAACUGUUGUCCCAGACGUACUAGACCAUCCACAGUUGUUACUCCGAAGCUGGCUAGCCAACUGAGGAAUAAUUUUCUAUAGAAUCAGCUUAAUAACCUCAUCUUCCACAUCUCGGGUUUUCAGCGCUUAUAAAAAGCUUGGUACAUAUAGGCGAAAUCGCGUAUGCUUUCUCCCUCCUGCUGGACACAAGUUCUGACUCUCUCUGCGAUUUCAUCCUCAUAAUCCUCUGAUAAGAAAGCAGCUAGAAAUUGGUGCUCAAACUCCUGCCAAGAAGUGGUCUCAAAACAAGCGACAUCCCACCUGUCUCUUGCAGUUCCAUGAAGUGCAUUUCUAAUGGUAGCUAUCAACUCAUCAUCAGAAAGAGGAUAGACAGCCAAGAAAUCUUUACAUUUUUCAAGAAAGAGCAAGGGAUCUGGACUAUCUUCUAUUCAUCCAAAACAGGAAAAUUUAAUUUAAUUGGAUUUUUUUCCUAAAUACCAUCCCCCAAGUUCACCAGGGAUGAAGGAGUCACUAGGGGAGAGGAUCUCUUCUUCAAGCAUUCCAGAUUGUACUGUAGAAUGCAGAUGUUGCAACUGUGAAGACACCCCUGGUGUUUCCACUGCGUUGAGAGGGGAGGUGACAGUUUGAACUGAGACACUUGUCAUAGCUGUCCUCUGUAAAGGCUUGACAUUUUCCAGAUCCAAAGCCAGUUGAUCUAGAUGUUGAGUGCACUGACUGAGUUCAGCCUGUAGAGGGCUUUUAGAGCCUGUCUUCAAUACUAAGGUGUCACCUGCUGUGAACACUUGGUAAGUCCAGUUUGAAUAAGUUCCAGGGAAGCAGCCAUGGGAGCCAACACACUAACAAUAUCUUUAAGAACUUGUGUGAUGAUGUUUUAAAUGCCAGUUCAGAAGGUGGUUGUGUUCCUUUCGAAUGUAAUCACACUGUUGCUAUAUAAGUUGUUUCAGUUCAGUGACUUGAUGUACAGAAAUGUGAGUCACAUGUUGGGUUAAGGACUGAACAGCCUUUUUAAAUUCUCCUGAUUGAUCUGUAAUCAUGUCCAUAAUGCUUUGAUUUUGCGUUUUCAUUAUAGCAAAUAAUUGAUGAGGAGUGAGAUUUGCCACAGUCUCGGAUGCAUUCUCCAAUGAAGGUUGGGGAGAAGGUUGCAUUGGCUGUAUCAGGUCUAUAUCUCCUGUUAACUCCAUAUCCAACAAAGAAUGGUGUGUUGCAAGAGUGGUUGCUGUAGAAUUUGGUCCAUCUGCAUUGGCAGUAUGAUGGACUCCAUCCUGAGUAGAUGCCACACUAUGUUCCGCCUGAGUGGCUGCCAUAUUGGGUUUUGGUUGUUUCUCCUGAGUGACUGCCAUGUUGGAGGUUGGUUGAUUUAGCACAUCAAACAAUUCAGUGUGUGUCUCCAUGAGAAGCCAUUUUGUUUUGAGAUUAAUUGUUUGAUUCUUCUUGUGAAUAAAAUGUGAUCCUCUUUUAUUCUG